GCUGGGCAUAGUGGUGCAUGCCUGUAGUCCCAGCUACUUGGAAGGCUGAGGCAGGAGAAUUGCUUGAACCCAGGAGGCAGAGGUUGCAGUGAGCUGAGAUGGAGCCACUGCACUCCAGCCUGGGUGACAGAGCGAGACUCUGUCUCAA
rnacentral:SRP_RNA from 1 species